rnacentral:rRNA from 1 species
UGGGGAAUAUUGGACAAUGGACCGAGAGUCUGAUCCAGCAAUUCUGUGUGCACGAUGACGUUUUUCGGAAUGUAAAGUGCUUUCAGUUGGGAAGAAAAAAAUGACGGUACCAACAGAAGAAGUGACGGCUAAAUACGUGCCAGCAGCCGCGGUAAUACGUAUGUCACGAGCGUUAUCCGGAUUUAUUGGGCGUAAAGCGCGUCUAGGUGGUUAUGUAAGUCUGAUGUGAAAAUGCAGGGCUCAACUCUGUAUUGCGUUGGAAACUGUGUAACUAGAGUACUGGAGAGGUAAGCGGAACUACAAGUGUAGAGGUGAAAUUCGUAGAUAUUUGUAGGAAUGCCGAUGGGGAAGCCAGCUUACUGGACAGAUACUGACGCUGAAGCGCGAAAGCGUGGGUAGCAAACAGGAUUAGAUACCCUGGUAGUCCACGCCGUAACGAUGAUUACUAGGUGUUGGGGGUCGAACCUCAGCGCCCAAGCAAACGCGAUAAGUAAUCCGCCUGGGGAGUACGUACGCAAGUAU